rnacentral:lncRNA from 1 species
UAAGUUAGAUAUGGAUAGACCAAAGCAUAAUAUAUUAGCUUUAAGGAAUUUAGGUUUGUGAAAUGUCGAAUCCUGGAAAUAAUUGCCGCACAUUUGAUAAUUUUUUUCGUAAUCAAAUCCAAGUGAUUACUCCAUGUCAGAAAUUGGUCAAGAACAAUUCCGAGAAAUGUGAUGUUUUUGACUUGUCUUAUAUUGUUAUUAUUGAUUGAAAUGUUUAUUGAACCAUUAAGUUUCUUAUUUUUUGAUCUAAAAAGAAUAAAUUUUG